GAUGAACGCUGGCGGCGUGCUUAACACAUGCAAGUCGAACGAAGCAUUUAGGACAGAUUACUUCGGUUUGAAGUUCUUUAUGACUGAGUGGCGGACGGGUGAGUAACGCGUGGGUAACCUGCCCUGUACUGGGGGAUAGCAGCUGGAAACGGCUGGUAAUACCGCAUAAGCGCACAAUGUUGCAUGACAUGGUGUGAAAAACUCCGGUGGUAUAAGAUGGACCCGCGUCUGAUUAGCUAGUUGGUGAGAUAACAGCCCACCAAGGCGACGAUCAGUAGCCGACCUGAGAGGGUGACCGGCCACAUUGGGACUGAGACACGGCCCAGACUCCUACGGGAGGCAGCAGUGGGGAAUAUUGCACAAUGGAGGAAACUCUGAUGCAGCGACGCCGCGUGAGUGAAGAAGUAAUUCGUUAUGUAAAGCUCUAUCAGCAGGGAAGAUAGUGACGGUACCUGACUAAGAAGCUCCGGCUAAAUACGUG
rnacentral:rRNA from 1 species